rnacentral:hammerhead_ribozyme from 1 species
GCACUGGUGACGAGUCCAAAACAGGACGAAACAGCUGUCCAGUGC